GACAAAUCUUUAUAAACUAUUUAAAUACUACAGAAUUAUAACACAGCCACUGUAGCUUAACAACCAUAGGCAGUGAUACUCCAUUCUGUCCUAGAAGCCAAUCCUCCCUCAGGUUUGGUAGGCAGCCCCCAGGGCAGGUUGUGGGAGCCCCACCCAUUAAAAUGGGACAUGAAGGGGACAGCAUACAGCAUGUGGCCAAAAGAUUGUUAUUAAACCCAGAUUCUUAAGUACAAGA